rnacentral:rRNA from 1 species
GCUACGGGAGGCAGCAGUGAGGAAUAUUGGUCAAUGGGCGCGAGCCUGAACCAGCCAAGUAGCGUGAAGGAUGACUGCCCUACGGGUUGUAAACUUCUUUUAUAAAGGACUAAAGUGAGGCACGUGUGCCUUUAUGUAUGUCCUUUAUGAAUAAGGAUCGGCUAACUCCGUACCAGCCGCCGCGGUAAUACGGAGGAUCCGAGCGUUAUCCGGAUUUAUUGGGUGUAAAGGGAGCGUAGAUGGGUUGUUAAGUCAGUUGUGAAAGUUUGCGGCUCAACCGGAAAAUUGCAAUUGAUACUGGCAGCCUUGAGUACAGUUGAGGUAGGCGGAAUUCGUGGUGUAGCGGUGAAAUGCUUAGAUAUCACGAAGAACUCCGAUUGCGAAGGCAGCUUACUAAACUGCCACUGACAUUGAUGCGCGAAAGUGUGGGUAUCAAACAGGAUUAGAUACCCGAGUAGUC